rnacentral:rRNA from 1 species
UACGUAGGCAGCAAGCGUUGUUCGGAGUUACUGGGCGUAAAGGGUGCGUAGGCGGCUUCUUAAGUCUGGUGUGAAAUCUCCCGGCUCAACUGGGAGGGUGCGCCGGAUACUGAGGGGCUAGAGUGUGGGAGAGGAAAGUGGAAUUCCUGGUGUAGCGGUGAAAUGCGUAGAUAUCAGGAGGAACACCGGCGGUGUAGACGGCUUUCUGGACCGUAGCUGACGCUGAGACACGAAAGCGUGGGUAGCAAACAGG